rnacentral:rRNA from 1 species
GAUGAACGCUAGCGGCAGGCCUAACACAUGCAAGUCGAGGGAGAAGCCCUUUCGGGGGCAGAAACCGGCGCACGGGUGCGUAACGCGUAUGCAACCUACCUUUCACAGGGGGAUAGCCCGAAGAAAUUUGGAUUAAUACCCCAUAAUAUUGUUGGAUGGCAUCAUUUUGCAGUUAAAACUGCGGUGGUGAGAGAUGGGCAUGCGUCCUAUUAGCUAGUUGGAGUGGUAACGGCACCCCAAGGCUACGAUAGGUAGGGGUCCUGAGAGGGAGAUCCCCCACACUGGUACUGAGACAGGGACCAGACUCCUACGGGAGGCAGCAGUGAGGAAUAUUGGUCAAUGGUCGUAAGACUGAACCAGCCAUGCCGCGUGCAGGAAGAAUGCCUUAUGGGUUGUAAACUGCUUUUAUAUGGGAAGAAUAAGGUGUACGAGUAC